UACAGAGGGGGCAAGCGUUGUCCGGAAUCAUUGGGCGUAAAGAGCGUGUAGGCGGCCCGGUAAGUCCGCUGUGAAAUUUCGGGGCUCAACCCCGAACUUGCAGUGGGUACGGGCAGACUAGAGUGUGGUAGGGGAGACUGGAAUUCCUGGUGUAGCGGUGAAAUGCGCAGAUAUCAGGAGGAACACCGGUGGCGAAGGCGGGUCUCUGGGCCGAUACUGACGCUGGAGGAGCGAAAGCGUGGGGAGCGAACAGG
rnacentral:rRNA from 1 species